rnacentral:rRNA from 1 species
AUUGAACGCUGGCGGCAGGCUUAACACAUGCAAGUCGAACGAGUGGCGGACGGGUGAGUAAUGCUUGGGAAUCUAGCUUAUGGAGGGGGAUAACUACGGGAAACUGUAGCUAAUACCGCGUACAAUAGGAUGAGCCCAAGUGGGAUUAGGUAGUUGGUGAGGUAAAGGCUCACCACGCCGACGAUCUCUAGCUGGUCUGAGAGGAUGACCAUCCACACUGUGACUGAGACCCGGCCCAUACUCCUACGGGAGGCAGCAGUGGGGAAUAUUGCACAAUGGGCGCAAGCCUGAUGCAGCCAUGCCGCGUGUAUGAAGAAGGCCUUCGUGUUGUAAAGUACUUUCAGUCGGGAGGCGUUACCGACAGAAGAAGCACCGGCUAACUCCGUGCCAGCAGCCGCGGUAAUUC